rnacentral:rRNA from 1 species
CAGCCGCCACGGGAACACGAAGGGUGCAAGCGUUACUCGGAAUUACUGGGCGUAAAGCGUGCGUAGGUGGUGGUUUAAGUCCGUUGUGAAAGCCCUGGGCUCAACCUGGGAAUUGCAGUGGAUACUGGGUCACUAGAGUGUGGUAGAGGAUAGUGGAAUUUCCGGUGUAGCAGUGAAAUGCGUAGAGAUCGGAAGGAACAUCUGUGGCGAAGGCGACUAUCUGGGCCAACACUGACACUGAGGCACGAAAGCGUGGGGAGCAAACAGGAUUAGAUACCCCCGUAGUCCCUGUCUCUUAUAC